UUAAUUGAAGAGUUUGAUCAUGGCUCAGAUUGAACGCUGGCGGCAGGCCUAACACAUGCAAGUCGAACGGUAACAGGAAGCAGCUUGCUGCUUUCUGACGAGUGGCGGACGGGUGAGUAAUGUCUGGGAAACUGCCUGAUGGAGGGGGAUAACUACUGGAAACGGUAGCUAAUACCGCAUAACGUCGCAAGACCAAAGAGGGGGACCUUCGGGCCUCUUGCCAUCGGAUGUGCCCAGAUGGGAUUAGCUUGUUGGUGGGGUAACGGCUCACCAAGGCGACGAUCCCUAGCUGGUCUGAGAGGAUGACCAGCCACACUGGAACUGAGACACGGUCCAGACUCCUACGGGAGGCAGCAGUGGGGAAUAUUGCACAAUGGGCGCAAGCCUGAUGCAGCCAUGCCGCGUGUAUGAAGAAGGCCUUCGGGUUGUAAAGUACUUUCAGCGGGGAGGAAGGGAGUAAAGUUAAUACCUUUGCUCAUUGACGUUACCCGCAGAAGAAGCACCGGCUAACUCCGUGCCAGCAGCCGCGGUAAUACGGAGGGUGCAAGCGUUAAUCGGAAUUACUGGGCGUAAAGCGCACGCAGGCGGUUUGUUAAGUCAGAUGUGAAAUCCCCGGGCUCAACCUGGGAACUGCAUCUGAUACUGGCAAGCUUGAGUCUCGUAGAGGGGGGUAGAAUUCCAGGUGUAGCGGUGAAAUGCGUAGAGAUCUGGAGGAAUACCGGUGGCGAAGGCGGCCCCCUGGACGAAGACUGACGCUCAGGUGCGAAAGCGUGGGGAGCAAACAGGAUUAGAUACCCUGGUAGUCCACGCCGUAAACGAUGUCGACUUGGAGGUUGUGCCCUUGAGGCGUGGCUUCCGGAGCUAACGCGUUAAGUCGACCGCCUGGGGAGUACGGCCGCAAGGUUAAAACUCAAAUGAAUUGACGGGGGCCCGCACAAGCGGUGGAGCAUGUGGUUUAAUUCGAUGCAACGCGAAGAACCUUACCUGGUCUUGACAUCCACGGAAGUUUUCAGAGAUGAGAAUGUGCCUUCGGGAACCGUGAGACAGGUGCUGCAUGGCUGUCGUCAGCUCGUGUUGUGAAAUGUUGGGUUAAGUCCCGCAACGAGCGCAACCCUUAUCCUUUGUUGCCAGCGGUCCGGCCGGGAACUCAAAGGAGACUGCCAGUGAUAAACUGGAGGAAGGUGGGGAUGACGUCAAGUCAUCAUGGCCCUUACGACCAGGGCUACACACGUGCUACAAUGGCGCAUACAAAGAGAAGCGACCUCGCGAGAGCAAGCGGACCUCAUAAAGUGCGUCGUAGUCCGGAUUGGAGUCUGCAACUCGACUCCAUGAAGUCGGAAUCGCUAGUAAUCGUGGAUCAGAAUGCCACGGUGAAUACGUUCCCGGGCCUUGUACACACCGCCCGUCACACCAUGGGAGUGGGUUGCAAAAGAAGUAGGUAGCUUAACCUUCGGGAGGGCGCUUACCACUUUGUGAUUCAUGACUGGGGUGAAGUCGUAACAAGGUAACCGUAGGGGAACCUGCGGUUGGAUCACCUCCUUACCUUAAAGAAGC
rnacentral:rRNA from 1 species